rnacentral:misc_RNA from 1 species
CCAAAUCUUUGUUUUGAGAAAAAAAAAAUGGAAAAUGAGAAUAAAAAGGGAUAGGUGCAGAGACUCAAUGGAAGCUGUUCUAACGAAUGAAAUUGACUACGUUACGUUAGUAGCUAAAAUCCUUCCAGAAAGGAUAACCUUAUAUACCUAAUACAUACGUAUACAUACUGACAUAGCAAACGGAUUAAUCACAACCCGAACCUUCUAUUUUAUAAUACAUAUUAGUCUUAUAUACUAUAUACUAUUAUGAUAUGAGUAUUAGUAAGAGUAUAGGAUAGGGAUCUAUGGAAACCCUCUAUUUCUAUUCUCUAUUAAUUACUAUUAAUUAGAAUGAUAGAGAUCAAAAAAUCUAUCAAAAAUUGAAGAAUUAUUGUGAAUCAAUUCCAAUUGAAGUUGAAAAAAGAAUCGAAUUCAAAUAUUCAGUGAUCAAAUGAUUCAUUCCAGAGUUUGAUAGAUCUUUUGAAGAUUAAUUGGACGAGAAUAAAGAGAGAGUCCCAUUUUACAUGUCAAUACCGACAACAAUGAAAUUUAUAGUAAGAGGAAAAUCCGUCGAAUUUGAAAAUCGUGAGGGUUCAAGUCCCUCUAUCCCCAAGAAAAAGCCCAUUUUACUUCCUCACUCUUUCUUUAUCCUCAUCCUCUUUUUUUUAAUCAGUGGUUCAGUUCAAACAAAAUUCAAUAUCUUUCUCAUUUCAUUCACUCUGUUCUUUUGCAACUGGAUCCAAAUAGAAAUCCUCGUAUCUUCUUCCAAUCUUGUAUAGUACGAUACCUGUACAAAUGAACAUAUAUGUUCAAGGAAUCUCCGUUAUUGAAUCAUUCACAGUCCAUAUCAUUAUACAAAGAAAGUCUUCUUUUUGAAGACCUAAGAAAUUCAGGGGCUAGGUCCAAUUUGUUAAGACUUUUUUAGUUCCUUU